rnacentral:rRNA from 1 species
CGAACGGGUGAGUAAUGCGUGACCAACCUGCCCCAUGCUCCAGAAUAGCUCUUGGAAACGGGUGGUAAUGCUGGAUGCUCAACUUGACGCAUGUCUUGUUGGGAAAGUGUUUAGUGGCAUGGGAUGGGGUCGCGUCCUAUCAGCUUGUAGGCGGGGUAAUGGCCCACCUAGGCUUCGACGGGUAGCCGGCCUGAGAGGGCGGACGGCCACAUUGGGACUGAGAUACGGCCCAGACUCCUACGGGAGGCAGCAGCG